UAGGGAAUCUUCGGCAAUGGACGAAAGUCUGACCGAGCAACGCCGCGUGAGUGAAGAAGGUUUUCGGAUCGUAAAACUCUGUUGUUAGAGAAGAACAAGGACGUUAGUAACUGAACGUCCCCUGACGGUAUCUAACCAGAAAGCCACGGCUAACUACGUGCCAGCAGCCGCGGUAAUACGUAGGUGGCAAGCGUUGUCCGGAUUUAUUGGGCGUAAAGCGAGCGCAGGCGGUUUCUUAAGUCUGAUGUGAAAGCCCCCGGCUCAACCGGGGAGGGUCAUUGGAAACUGGGAGACUUGAGUGCAGAAGAGGAGAGUGGAAUUCCAUGUGUAGCGGUGAAAUGCGUAGAUAUAUGGAGGAACACCAGUGGCGAAGGCGGCUCUCUGGUCUGUAACUGACGCUGAGGCUCGAAAGCUUGGGGAGCAAACAGG
rnacentral:rRNA from 1 species